rnacentral:lncRNA from 1 species
CGGAGAUGUGGCUCUGGCUCUCCCACAGAGACAUGGCUCUCUCUCUGACUCUUGCUGGUGGAGACAUUGGUCUCUGUCAGCAACGUGGGAAGUGCUGAGUGACGUUUGGCGUCUUGGGUCUUGGCAGCUUGGUGUGAGCUUGUUAAGUGUUAGGGAUGAAGAUUAAGAAUUUAGGAUUGGUAGAAUCCUAUCCUGUUUACAACAGAAUUUUAUCUUCUCAUUCUUGUUAUGAAAGCCAAUUGCUUCCUCAUCUAAUCGACCUAUCAUUUUUUCCCUGACAGCUAGGAUGAAGUGAAAAUAAUACUGGAUUGAAAAUCAAGAGCCUUUGAUUUUAUUUCCAACUCUAGCCCUCACUUGUUGUGUGAGUUUGGGUCCAUCAAUUAACCAUUAUGUCUCUCAGUUUCCUCAUUUAUAAACGAGGAAUUUGGACUAUUUGGUCACUAACAUCACAAACAAAUGUGAAGAGUGGAAACCAUCCCAUUUUUGCUCUGAUACUUCAAGGUCACAGGGAAUCAGGUACUUUCUACAAGCCUUGGGUUUUACUGACCUAAUAUUAGGAUUAUUGACCAAAGAGUCAAUAAAAACAGUAAACUCCUCCA